GGUAAUCGAAUAGCCGCUUAGGGUUCAUCUUGGCAUUGAUUUCGAGUCAGAAUUUUCCUGAAAGUUCUGCCUUUAUGAACUAUUGUUUAGAGUUUAUGUAUCGUGAUGUUCUGUGAUUCCUCUUCUCUCCUUUUUUCGAAUUCAUAAUUUUAGGUUUUGUGUAUAUGCUGUGACGAGACAAUUUCGUGGACUAGAGUUUCUGAUCUGGGUAAUUAUCCAGAACUUGAUUAUCAACCCUUGGCUGUCCGAGCACACCAAAAUUUCCAAAAUUAGUUUUUUUCUUCUGACCAUUUUCAUUAUCCAAAAGAAUUUUGUUGGCUCUCUCCCUGUUACAGGUACCAUUGGUUUUUGUAUUGUAAUUAUGCUAAAUUGGCUUAAGAAAACAGUUUGGCUUAUGAUGAUAAUUUAAUUAUCUUAGCGGAUUUCAGUGAGAUCUUAAUCAAUGAUCUGAAUGUUACACACACUGAAGCCUUUGUCUUGUAGUUUUUAACACUUGUUUCAAAUGUCCUUCAAUUGGUUGUUGCUUGUACUUCUAAUUCGGUUCAUUUGUUCUUGACAAUGCUACUGUUGCCAUCUGGUUUUUGUUACCUGUGAAUGUAUUAUAUGGAGUACUAAUUUAUAUAUUAAUGGUGUUAUGAUGAGAUGAAGCACUUGAGCGUGUUUGGGCAGUGGACGGAACCACAAGGUUUCGCCGUGAGCCUCCAAUUUUAACGACUUCUCCUUCCACUGAGCACCAUAAUUAGAGAUGAUUUUCAUUUGCAUAAAGUCAUUAGGAACAUUGCUUGAAUGAACGUUGUAUAAGAGUUAAACUAUUAGGUGCAUUGUUUUCCAUUGCGUCCAUUACCAAUUCCGGGGGAUAAAUUGUUCCUUCUGGUAUAAUGGCUCGGACGCCAUAUUUAUGAUGUGGUCAUCCUGAUUGGUGGUUUCAUCUUCAUACCAUUUGGUCUUGGAAACGCCACCAACAUUUUUAGUAUUCAAUUCACUGGAAGAAUGCAAAUUUUGUUCUGAUUGCAGCUCUUUAUAGGUGUGGAUACAGUGUGUAUCAACUUUUGCUUACGUAGUUCAUUCAAAUUAUAGAUAUAGAUAAUUUUGUGUAUGUAAUGUUUUUGAAAAUUAUCAUUGGACUUUGUAGUUUGAUCAGUGUGCUGUGACGAAACACUUGUGGACUAGAGUUUCUGAUCUGAGAAUUUACUCAGAAGUUGAUUAUGAAACCCUUGGCUGUCCGAGCACACCAAUUAUUUCGUUCCACCUUAAAUUGGUUUUUCACAAAAUUCGUUGUAAGCUUUUAAUUUCUUAAUUAUUUGAAUGUUUUGUUAAAUCAAAUUUCUUUCUUUUCGGAAGAUUUUAAAUUGUUUGGCUUAUGAUGAUAAUUCAUUUAUCUUAGCGGAUUUCAGUGAGAUUUCUAUCAAUGAUCUGAAUGUUACACACACUGAAGCCCUUGUCUUGUGUUAAAAGGAAACUUAUUUCUACUACUUUGUUUAUUGUUAUUUCUGAUUUUAUUAUUUAUUUUAAUCUGUAUUUCAUUGUAGACUUUUUUCUUGGGAUAAAGUAGACAUUUCUACAGUUGCAAGUGAUAUUAAUCUGAAACCUGUCGUCGUUAAUUAACAAUGAUUCAGAUCUUACGGCCUACUAUCAUCCAUAUAGCCCACCAAAGUGUUCUUAUAUAAUGGUUCUUGGUAUCAAUGUGUGCGAUGAACGUAAAGUCUCCAGAACAUUAUUGACUAAAAGGAACUGAGAACCAUAAUUCAGUAGAACUGAGAAUGUACGUUACUUAGAAUGUCUGUCUUAAUAAAUAGAUAAGGGAAUUUGUUAAGGUUAAUUUGUAGAUGAAUAAUAGACACAUAUUUGUAGAUGGAUAAUAGUUGUCUUACAUUGUCAUUGACUAUUUGUUGAAGUGUCUUGCCAGGGAAGGCAGUUAGAAGAUUUCUUCUGAUCUUAAGGCGGUGUAUCUCUCCACAUGAAUUUGUAUAUAGAAUUGUAACAGUAUAGAUAUUUUGCAAAAUACAUACAUCCCACUACAAAGUAGAUGGAUAAUAGUUGUCUUACAAUAAUUUUUUUGUUUGGUUAGUUUUCAUGUAUUCACACCGUUCCAAUGUGAAAACAAGUAAUCGCUAUUGAAUUAUUUCAUUUUGAAUCAUAGAUCUAAUAGCAUUUAUUUACUUUUUAACAAAAUGGAAAUCCAUAAUAAAAAUUUGCCACUUUAAUGCAUGUGCAUCCCUAUGUUUAGCUACUGAAUCUACUUGUACGAAAGAUCAUCAUACAAAAUAUACUUCCAAUUAUCUAGAUAUACUAAGAUUAAGAAAUAUAUUAUUCUAUAUUUUUUUAAUAUUUAGAUAACAAUAUUUAAUUUAUGGUCAUAGUAGUCAAUCAUGCUGCUCUCUCUUUAUAUUCUUUUAGAUAAUAAUAGAUUCGGUGUUUACCUGGUUUCUUUUACUUCGGAAUAAUAGUAAUUUCUAAGUUAUCGGUGUUAUGAUGAGAUGAAGCACCGAAGUGUGUUUGGGCAGUAGACAUAAUCACAUGGUUUCGCCCGUGAGCCUUCAAUUUUAACGACUUCUCCUUCCACUGAGCACCAUAGUUAGAGAUAUUUUUCAUUUGCAUUAAAUCAUUAGAACAUUAUUUCGAGUGAAUGCCUAUUUUUUCGUAUGAUGGUUAAACGUUUAGGAGCAUUGUUUCCUUUGCGUCCAUUACCAAUUCCGGGGGAUAAAUGGUUCCUGCUGGUAUAAUGGCUCGGACGCCAUAUUCAUGACGUGGUCAUCCUGAUUGGUGGGUUCAUCUUCAUACCAUUUGGUCUUGGAAACGCCACCAACAUUGUUUCUUUGUAAUUUGUUCUUUGUGCUGUGACGAGAGAAUCGUGGACUAGAGUUUCUGAUUUGAGGAUUUACUCAGAAGUUGAUUAUGAAACCCUUGGCUGUCCGAGCACACCAAAUCUUUCCAUUCACCUAAACUUAGUUGUUUACUUAAUUCGUUGUGAACUUUUUAUUUCUUAAUAAUUUUAGUUUUUGCUUUAAUUGUCUGUUAAAUUAAAUAUUAUUGUGAUAAAUGGUUUGGCUUAUGAUGAUAAUUUAUUUAUCUUAGCGGAUUUCAGUGAGAUUUUUAUCAAUGAUCUGACUGUUACACACACUGAAGCCAUUGUCUUAUUUUACAGACUUAUUUUCUGUUUGUUUAUUAAUUAUUUGUUUAUGAAUUUAUUAUUUAUUUUAAUUAAUUAUUUGUACCUUUUGAAAUUGUUAUUUUUAUAUGUAAACUCUUCAAUUUUAAUUAAGAUUUGCCUUAAAUUUAUUAAUAUGUUGUUAAUUAAUAAGUUCAAUUAAUUGAGAAUAUUUUAAAUAUUUAUUGUAAUACUUUUCGAAAAAAGUUUUUUUAUUAUUUUUCGAAAUUUAAGAUAUUUUAGAUCUUAAAAUAUGUUUUCAUUUUUAUAAGUUACCCUAGGCUGAUUAUAACACGCGGAAGUUGUUAAUUCCUGAUCCAUAUCCUGGGCAUCCUCCAAUAAGUUCUAUGUUAUGUAACAUAGAAGAUAGAUCUUGAAUUUUGUGAUGUAGCUCUUGACUGUCAGAAGGUCUGAAGAUCAUGUGUGUUGAACCUGGACUUAUGACGGUUCAGUAGUCAAUAAAUGUGGAAUCACAACAUUAUAAACAGAGAUUUUGUAUAGCUUGCUAUAUCUACACCUCUGUACAACUUUUCCUAUAUUAUGGCUUUUUACUCAUCCAUGACCAUAUCUUACUUUUUAAACUCAAAUCUAAGAAAUAAUAAUUUUGUAAAUAUUUAGUUAUGUAUCAAAAGUUAUCAUAUUAGUAUAUAAAUAUAUAACGACUUAUUCACCAUUUUAAAAAAAUUAGUGUACACAUUUAUCAACCUCUUAAUUAUUAGUAUUAGAAAGCAGUAAUAUAAUAUAAGACAUCAUCAAGUUUUUAUGUCAUUAUUUUAGAGCAUGUUUCAAUCUAUAGAAAUAUUUUAAGAGUUUCAUAUGUUGUUUUCUUGACUAGGAAUUACACACUAGUCUUAAUAAAGGAAAUCUUAAUAAUUAAAGUAAAAGUAUCACAAUAGUUUAUGUAUUAUUAUUUUUUACUUAAUUAAUUUUAAUUCUUAUAACUUUUUCCUAAUGUUUUGCAUUAUAAGCAUUAAUAACUUUAGGGUUUAGGGUUUAGGGUUUAGGGUUUAGGGUUUAGGAACAUUGUUGUGAUCAAUUUCAACUAGUUUAAUUUUAAAAUGAUCUCUAAAUUCGGUUUGUUUUUUAAUUUUCUACAACUUUUCUAUUGUUGUUUGAAUUUAUGACGUGCUUUUAAAAGAAAAACUUUUAAAAAACACUAUAUUUUUUUGUAUUUACUAUAUAUAUAGUACAUGUUCAAUUACAUCAUAUUUGACAAAGAAGACCACUUAUAUAUUUUAUGGUUAUCAUUGAAAAUGAACCAAUAUUUUUAAAGUCAAAAUAUAGAUAUGAUGAGAUAAAGGACAAUUUUUUUAUUAAUAAAUACAUUAGAGGUACAAUUAUGGAGGUAGUGCGUAUCUCAUAGAAUCAGAAUUUCCUUCAAUCUAUUAGACUUCUUGUGUAAUGCACAACAAUGUUCUUGGAUCUCACAAAUUAUGGAUGAUGUUACUUUUAUUAAAAACUUUAUUGUAGGACACUAUAUGAGAUUAUCAAUGUUAAGUAAAUUCAAGUCAUUGAAGUUGUUUUAUGUUCCUCCAAUAAGAUUUGCUUCAACCAUAGUUAUGUUAACCAUGUUUAGAAGUUUAAAAAAAUGAAUUCAAGAGAUGAUUAGUGAUGAAUGAUCUUAAAUAAAACAUAACAUGGAUAAUGCAUAAUUUGUGAAAGAAACUUUGUUGAUUGAUAAUUGGGGAAUGAAGUUUGAUUACAUAUUUACGAAUAUAACUAUUCUUCACUUAGUAUUCGAAAUGUGGGAAUCAAUGGUUAAAAAUGUGAGAAAAGUCAAAUACCAAUAUUAUAGAAAGACAAAAGUUGAACAUCAAUCACUUUUGAGGUAAUAAAAUUAAAAAUAUUAUUUGAUAGUUGGACUAAAAGUAACACAUCUCUUCAUUUCAUUGUUCUGUACAUAUUUUAAAUCCAAGGUAAUAAUAAUACAUUAUAUAGUUAAAUUAUUUUAUAAUUAUAUUUUGAUGUGUAUAUAUUAUUUAUAAUAUCAUAAAUUUAUAAUAUUAUGUUAAUUUAUAUUUAUAUAUUUUAAUGUUGUAGAUAUUAUAAUCAUAAAUAAUUAAAUAAAAAUUAACAAACUAUAAAGCUCUAAUACCAUGUAAAGGCAUUGCAUCCACCCCUUAGAUGCAUCUCAGACAUGGACAUACAACAUAUGCUUACAAGUUGGGGUGUUGAACCGAUGCUUAUAAGUUGGGGUGUUAGAUACACCGAUUUGGAUUAUACACAAUCAUAAUAUUUUAAAUUUUAAUAUUUUUAUUUAAUUUUUAUUUUUAAAAUUAAACUUAAAUAUGAUUUAUUAUAUAAUUAUAUAAUAUUAUGUAUUUUUUAUAAUUUAAAUAUCAUAUUUCUACUUUUAUUUAUAUUUAAAUUAUAAACACAAUUAUAUUUUUUUAUAAUUUAAAUCUAUUUUUAAAUAGAAAAUUAAUUUUUUAUUAAAGAUAAACUAAACUUUUACUUAAGAAAAAAAUUAAAAAUUAAAUAUAAUAUUUUGUAUAAUAAUUGUUCUUGUCGGUUGACUUCGGUCAUACUUGGUGGUGAGCUCUGUUGAAGAUGGAUGUUGCCUCUCAAAGACAAAGUGUUUGAUGAAGCCAAAUGUGUAUUUUUCCUUAGUGUUGGCUUUUGCUUUAAGGAUGUCUUAGGUUUAGAUUAGAGGUUGUUUAAUGUAGGUUUUUUUGCUGAGUAACUCACCUCGUAACCCCUGACCAUGUGAUAAGAGCAAGCACAAGACUUAUGAAAAUGUUUUUCACAUGUUUUGUAAAAAUAUCCUUUACAACAUAGAAAAUGAAUCUGUUCUUCUCUAAAUGAAUAGAUUCUCUGAAACUGAUGCAUUGUUUUGUGUUCACUCUCUCUUCCUCCCUGCACUUUUUUACUACUUUAUCUGUUAAACUGUCAGAAAUUGAAUCUGUUCAAUUAAAAAUAAAUCUGUUCUUUUUGGGCUUGUUCAUACUGUUCUUGAUUUCUGGAAAAACCUGUUUGAUUCUUUUAAAAAGUGUAUGAACUGUUGAGUACAACUGGAAUCAUUUGAUUUAUGAUAGUUUACCCAAUUUAUUGUCAAUCUUGUAAUUGAAGGUUUAUCACUGGAUUUAAAAGCUGAAGAUCAUUGAUUAUGUUUUUAUUGUUCCUCUCUAAAAACAGUGUGAGUGUAGCUUGUGAAUCAAUCUGCUUAAAAUCAAAAAUCACUUAACUGAUAUAAACUUCUUAAUACAUAAAUAGUAUAAAAUAUAAAUUUUUUCAUUGGUAAAUAAAUCGAUUUAUUUUUCUUUGUACUGUGCUAAAAAUUGAAUCUGCCUAAAAUUUUUAAAAGCUCAAUUCACCCCCCCUCUUGAACUUUGACAUUAUUAAACCUAACAAUUGGUAUCAAGAGCUAGGACUUGUAUUUUGCUCAAGUUUGUUUGUAAUAAUUUCUGAGUUUAAAGUGCUUUUUGCUAAGGGAUCGUCUAUCAAUAGACCUCCUAAGAUGAAUUAUGCUUUUUGGAAAAUUAAAAUGAAAAUUUUCAUUGAAUCUAUUGACUCGUGUAUUUGGGAGGUUGUGGUCCAUGGACUUUAUGUGCCAAUGCAGGUUGUCAAGGAUGAAGAAGUGGCAAAGCCAAGAUUUGAAUGGAGUGAGAGUGAAAAGAAGAAGGCUCAAUAUGAUCUUGUAGCUAAGAACAUCAUAACUUCGUCAUUAACAAUGGAUGAGUUCUUCAGAAUAUCUCAAUGCAGUUCAGCUAAGGAGAUGUGGGAGGUCUUGGAAGUUACUCAUUAAGGCACUGAGGAUGUGAAGAGAUCAAGAAAACAUUCUCUCAUCCAAGAGUAUGAACUUUUUAGAAUGCAACCCGAAGAGAGCAUUGCUCAUGUGCAGAAAAGGUUCACCCACAUUGUGAAUCAUCUUACUGGAUUGGGAAAGGUAUUUGACAAAGAGGAACUUAACAUAAAAGUGCUGAAGUGCCUCGACAGAAGCUGGCAACCCAAAGUGACUGCCAUAUCAAAAAGUCGUGAUUUGUCAAAGCUGUCCACUGCUGCACUAUUUGGGAAAUUAAUGGAGCAUGAGCUGGAGCUCAAGAGACUCAAAAAGCAAGAAACAGUGGAAAGGAAACCCAAGGGACUUGAACUGAAAGCAAGUACACAGAGUGACAUCAAUGAGGAGAAAGAAGAUGCUGAACAUGAUGAAACAAUCAACCUACUCACAAAAAGGUUCAACAGAUUCCUAAAGAAGAAAAGCAGAGAUAAGAACCAACAGAAAAAAAAGGUAUCCCAAACUGAAUGAAUCAAAUUCCUCUAACUACACUUGCUUUGGUUGUGGUAAAAUAGGGCAUAUCAAGAUGGACUAUCUAAACAAUCAAUCAAAGGACAAAUCAGCCAGCAAGAAAGUUGAAAGGAGCAAGGGGAGAAGAGCUUACAUCUCUUGGGAAGAAAAUGAAGUAUCUUCAACCAAUAGUUCUUCAACUGAGAGUGGGGAAACCAAUUUGUGCUUCAUGGUAAAAGAUGAAAGAUCAAUCUCUGAUUCGGUAAGUGAAUUUUCUAUGAAAUCUGAUAACUAUGAUCAAUUGCUUGCUGCUUUCAAAGAAACACAUGAUGAGGCAAAUAGAUUGGCUGUAAUAUGCAGUAAGUUGCAAAAGGUAAAUAAUGUGCUUGCACCUAAUGUAAAAACACUUGAGGAAGAACUGCAUAAGGCUAAAACUGAUCUUGUAAGUCUUGAACUAACAUGCUUGCAUGCCUCUAUUAAAACCUGUGAAAACUGUAAAAAAUUGGAAAAACAAGUGGAGUAUUUGCUAAAAACCCUAUCUAAUUUCACUAAGGGAAGAGAGAAUCUUGAGUCUCUUCUAGGUUCACAGAAUGUUGUUUUUAACAAAAAUGGAAUUGGUUAUAAUCCUGGAAAUGUAACCAAUGUUAAAAAGCUUUCAAGUUUUUUUGUUCCAGCAAAAACAAGUUUUUCAUCUUUUAACAGUGGCAGAAAGGCAUCUCAUGUUACUUGCUUUUAUUGUAUGAAAUAUGGACAUACCUCUAGAUCAUGUAUUGCUAGAAAAUAUAUUGUCCCCAAAAACUUAGCCAAAUGGCUACCAAAGGAAAGGUUUUAAUCAUUGCUGGACCCUAUACUGAGAAGGGUACCAUUUGUAUUAUUUUUACUAUGUUUUGCAGAAAGGAAUCAAGAGAAAUCAAUGGUAUUUGGACAGUGGAUUUUCAAAGCAUAUGACUGGUGAUCUGACAAAAAUUACUAGCUUAAAGCUCAAGGCAGAGGGACAUGUAACCUAUGGGGACAAUAAUCGUGGAAGAAUUCUGGGCAGAGGAACUGUUGGAACUGGAAAUUCAACCACUAUUGAGAAUGUGCUUUAUGUGGAAGGACUCAAGCAUAGCCUUCUUAGUAUUAGCCAACUAUGUGACAAAGGAUACAAGGUAAACUUCAAGUCAAAUGAUUGCACAAUCUCAAAUGACUCCUCUGGUAAGGUGUUGUUUACUGGUAAGAGAGUGAAUAACAUAUAUCUCUUGGAUAUUCUGGAAACUGAUUCUUCAAAUGAGUGUCUACUGUCUAGAAGUGAUGAGUCUUGGUUGUGGCACAGGAGGUUAGCUCACAUUCACACUAAUCACUUAAAUAAAUUGAAAUCCAAAGAUCUUGUUUCUGGUUUGCCUAACAUUAAAUUUUAGGAUAACAGACUCUAUGAUGCUUGUGUGAAAGAACCUACUGUUUCUGCAGGUUUGCCAAAAGAAUGGAAAACUCCAAGAGAUCUAACCCUUGAUAAUGUCAUUGGGAAUAUUGAGAAAGGAGUUUCAACUAGGAAGUCUUUGAGUAAUUUCUGUGAGACAAUGGCCUUUGUUUCUCAAGUGGAGCCUAAAAGUUUGAAUGAAGCACUCAAGGACAGUAACUGGAUUCUGGCUAUGCAAGAGGAACUGAAUCAAUUUGCUCUAAAUGAGGUAUGGACUCUUGUUCCUAGAAUACCUUAAAUGAACAUCAUUGGAACAAAGUGGGUAUUCAGAAACAAGAUGGAUGAGCAUGGGAUGAUUACCAGAAAUAAGGCUAGACUAGUGGCUAAAGGGUAUAAUCAAGAAGAGGGAAUAGACUAUGAUGAAACAUAUGCACCAGUGGCUCGGCUUGAAGCUGUUAGACUGCUCCUUGCCUUCUCCUGCAUCAAAGGAUUCAAGCUAUUCCAAAUGGAUGUGAAGAGUGCCUUCUUAAAUGGUUAUAUAAAUGAAGAGGUAUUUAUUUCACAGCCACCAGGAUUUGAAGACCAUCAACAUCCAGGACAUGUGUUCAAACUUAAGAAAGCUCUCUAUGGGCUUAAGCAAGCUCCUAAGCAAUGGUAUGAAAGGCUAAGUGAUUUCCUUACCUCACAAGGCUAUGACAAAGGCACAUCAGAUAAGACCUUGUUCAUUAAGAAGAAAGAAAAUGACACAAGUCUAUGUGGAUGAUAUUAUAUUUGGAUCAAACAAUGGAGAGCUGUGUGAAACUUUUGUAGAAAUCAUGAAGAGUGAGUUUGAAAUGUCUAUGAUGGGUGAGUUGAACUAUUUUCUAGGCUUGCAGGUCAAACAACUCAAGGAUGGCAUAUUCUUAAAUCAAGCCAAGUAUUGCAAGGAUCUGCUGAGAAAGUUUGAAAUGGACAAGGGCAAACCAAUUUGCUCUUAACUGCUUCAUCAACCCAUUUCAAUUUUCCAAUAUAAAUAUGUGUAAAUGUGUUGCUCAUACUCAUUGCUCACCAUUUGAAUCAAAAGGUAAUAUUCUCUCUUUGGUGAUUUCUUAAUGUAUGCUUAUCACUAUACACUAAUUCGGUUUUAAGUUGUGUUUCCAGACCCAACUUUGGUUCAACCAUGGCUUCUUCAUCACGUCAGAGAAAGAAGAAAUAGAACAAGCAGAACAACUUUCAAGGAGUGCUGGAAAACUAGUUUGUUGGAGAUGACGAAGGGAUAACCGCCUACAUCCAUGAGAUGAGUAAAAAGCAAAUCAACAUUCCUAAAUUUCUAGAGUCCUCUUGGUUGAAAACUGAGAAUCUGAAUGAAACCAGAUCUGCUUUAAAGCAUCAAAGACUGAAGCAGCUUCUUGAAAUGACUAGUAAUGUAUACCCUGAUCUUGUGAAGGUGUUUUACACCAAUCUGACCUUGGAUGGAAAAAAUCUGGUGUCUUACGUGAAAGGGAUCAAGAUGAAAUUCACCAAUGAAGUAUGGAAUUUGGUGGCUGGAAUCAAGUAUGUUGGUUUGAAGGUUGGAAAAGGAAAUACAAAUGGGAUUCAGGAGUUUAACAAAAUUCAGUAUUAUCGAAGCUGUGUAAGGGAUCCAUCCCUAAGUGUGAACAAGUUCCAUGCAGGUAACCUGAAUUUAACCCCAAGAUUACUUUCCUACAUCAUUGCAUGGCAACUCAUUCCUAAAGGUACAAAUCAUGUUGUUCUACAUGAAGAGGAUUUAAUACUUCUCUAAUGCAUCAUGAAUCUGAUCAAGGUUAACUGGGUAUAUAUCAUCAUGGAGCAUAUGUUGAAAUCUAAAAGAUUAACUGAUUACCGUUUUCCUUAUGCUAUUCUUGUUUCAAAAUUAAUUGACUAUUUUGGUAUUGAAACUUCUAAUGAGAGGAAUGAAACCAUCAAAGAUGUAGUGAAAUUGAUAACUCAACUCUCACAAAGAUGGGGUUUCAUAAAGUGGAGGACUGCUGGGUGUUUCUCAAAAGCAAAACUCACAAGGAAAAACAUGGAGGUUCAAACCUCAACAAUGAUGAGGAAGAUGAGGUUGUACCAAUGGAAGAUGAUACUAUGCAAGCUGCUGAACAAUCUUGCUAUGAAGUUCAUCACACUUCAUCACAUAGAAUGGGAUCCUUUGCUGACCAUGCUAGGAGUCACAGAAUGCGAUCUUCUUCUACUGAAUACAGAGGAGGAUCACCUGCACCAUAGACAAUGAAUGAAGAUGCUGAUGAAACUCCCCAAAAUGCUCUUGUUGCCUAUCAAGCUUCAGAAUACAAGGGUGAACCCUUAUCCAUGUUUGAGAGGCAGGUUCUGUAUCGCCUUUAUGCCAUGACAACAGAACAAAGGGCCUACUUCGAGACAACUCAAACAAGGUUCCAGCAUCUUGAUAAUCAAAUUGAUGGGGUUCAGUUGCAGCUGGCAGACUUAUACUACAAAGAUUAGAACUGUCUUGCUUUCCAUGCUUUUCUUUCACAAGUUUAUAUUCCUGUAAUGCUGAACAAUUUGUAUUCUUUUCUGGACUGUUAUGGUUGUGUUAUCUUUCUGUUUUUAUCUUUCUCUAUGCUUAAAUGUUGUUUGAUGAAUCCAAAGAGAGAAAAAAAAUAGCUCACCAUGCUAGGUAAAGCUAGGUAAUACAGGGAGUACACUCUGCAUCUUAAAACUGAUUGACUCAUAUUAUGAAUUGUUUCAACUUUUAUAGUUUGAUGUUUGAUGCAGUACAGGUGUUGUUCUCUUCUUAAAGCAAUUGAGCUAUGGGGAUUUGUCUCCAUCAAACAGGGGGAGAUUGUUGAAGAUGGAUGUUGCCUCUUCAAAGACAAAGUGUUUGAUGAAGCCAAAUGUGUAUUUUUCCUUAGUGUUGGCUUUUGCUUUAAGGAUGUCUUAGGUUUAGAUUAGAGGUUGUUUAAAUUAGGUUUUUUGUUGAGUAACUCACCUCUUAACCCCUGACCUUGCGAUAAGAGCAAGCACAAGACUUAUGAAAAUGUUUUUCACAUGUUUUGUAAAAAUAUCCUUUACAACAUAGAAAAUGAAUAUGUUCUUCUCUAAAUGAAUAGAUUCUUUUCUCAAACUGAUGCAUUGUUUUGUGUUCACUCUCUCUUCAUCCCUGCACUCUUUUACUGCUUUAUCUGUUAAAGAGUCAGAAAUUGAAUUUGUUCAAUUAAAAAUAAAUUUUUUCUUUCUGGGCUUCUUCAUACUGUUCUUGAUUUCUGGAAAACCUGUUUGAUUCUUUUAAAAAGUGUAUGAACUGUUGAGUACAACUAGAAUCGUUUGAUUUGUGAUAGUUUACCCAAUUUAUUGUCAAGCUUGUAAUUGAAGGUUUAUCACUGGAUUUAAAAGCUGAAGAUCAUUGAUUAUGUUUUUAUUGUUCCUAUUAAAAACAGUGUGAGUGUAGCUUGUGAAUCAAUCUGCUUAAAAUAAAAAAUCACUUAACUGAUAUAAACUUCUUAAUACAUAAAUAGUAUAAAAAAUAAAUUUGUUCAUUGGUAAAUAAAUCGAUUUAUUUUUCUUGGUACUGUGCUAAAAACUGAAUCUGUCUGGAAUUUUUAAAAGCUCAAUUCACCCCCCAUUUCCCCCUCUUGAACUUUGACACUAUUAAAACCCAACAAGCUCCGCUUUGUCUUGUCUUCACGUGAUGCUCUGAGAUGCCGAUGCUUUGUGACAAAGGAGACUCUACCUAUUGAUCACACUCUUACUAUCAAGUCAAUGAGAGCAUUCAAACUAUAAAUUUGUUUCAGUCUAGAGUUCUCAAAGGAAAAAACUUACCUUUACUCAGAGUCUUAAACCCUUUUAUAGACAUUCCUUCAACAAUUUUCAUCAACCAGAAUAUUAUUUCAAUAAGAAUAUAAUUUCAAUAGCAAGAAUAUAAUCUUAACAACAAUAAUGUUUCGGUAAUGUGUACCUUUAUUUUCGGCUACAAUGCAAUAUUAUUCUUAACAACUUUCGGGUACAAACCAAUUUUUUUUAGUUUCUAAAAUGGUAUCUAAUUUAGUUAAUAUUGCAACUAAUUAUUUUGAUCUCUAAAUAUUGGUUUCGAUUUAAUGAUUGAUAUAAAUUAAAUAAUAAUAUAAAAAAUUGCACGUAGGUCAAUUGUACAGUGAUCAGUUCAAAAAAAAAAAGUUUCUAUAAAUUAAAUAAUAAUAUGAAAAUUUGCAUGUACGUCAAUUGUGUAUUUUCAAUUGCAAUAAGUAAUGACAGAGCACCUGAGCAAUUAAAAAUAAAGUUGUACAAUUUUCUAGACAUUCCUUCAACAAGUUUCAUCAACCAGAAUAUUAUUUCAAUAAGAAUAUAAUAUCAAUAACAAGAAUAUAAUCUUAACAACAAUAAUAUUUCGGUAAUGUGUACCUUUAUUUUCGGCUACAAUGCAAUAUUAUUCUUAACAACUUUUACAUCGAAAGUAUAUAUAUGCUUAACUAACUCAGUUAUUCACCAUGUGUUUUUUGUUUUUAAUUAUCCUCUGAACAUGGACUGUCAAUCAUCUGGGUCGACCUCUUGACAUAUCAUUGAACUCAUGAUCGCCUCAGGUUGAUCUAGGUAUUUUUCAUAUGGGUUUGUCUAAUUCAAGCUACUACAUUUAAGUGCUUGGGUCGAGGACCCGAGCACGUCUGAAUACAAUAAUGAUAUUAAAAUUCAAAAAAAUAUAAAUAAUCUUAAAUAAAUAACAUAAUAAUUAAAUAUUAUUUUAAAAUAUAUAAUAUUUUAUGAUUAAUUUUUAAUUUAUUAUAUUUAUAAAUUAGUCUAUUAGAUGAUUUUAUUUGAUUUUUAUGUUUAAGUAAAAAAAUAUAUACUUAAUUUUUUUUAUUAUAGAAAAUUAAGAUAAAUAUAAUCAAUCAAACUACUAAACAAGAUGAUAAUUUUUUUUAUAAUAAUCGUACAUUAAAUAACAUAACAAUUAAAUAUUAUUGUAAAGUAUAUAAUAUAUUACAUUAUAAUUAAUUUUUAAUUUGUUACAUAUUUUAUUUUUUAUAUUCAUAAAUUAGUUUCUAUUAGAUGAAUUUAUUUAAUUAUUAUAUUUAAGUAAAUUUUACAUAUUUAAUUUAUUUAUUUUAUAGAAAAUUAAGAUGAAUAUACUUAAUUACACUAUUGAACAAAUCUCUAUUGAUAUAUGUUUCAAAGUUAAGAAAAAAUCUUAUAAAAUUAAUAUGAUCAAAUGUAGUCGAUGUGAUUUCUCAUUCAAUAAAUCUUACACUCUUAAGAUCAUUUUGUGAAAAUUAUGGGUGGAGUAAUUAGAAUUUCUCCAAUCAUGACUUCGUAAAAACUUAUUGAGUUUAAAAACUUAGAUAAUGAAACAACAUUGAAAAUAGAGAAUUCAAAGAAAAAGAAGGUUCAUAUAUCACAUGUAUGUAAUGAAGGAAAUAGACAAACAAUGGUGUUGUUACCCCCAAAAUUCAAAGGUUCUUUACAAGCUUCUUUCAAUAUGCAAAUGAAAGAUACUCUUGAUUGUGAAAUUGCUAUGAUGUUUUAUUCUUUAGAACUACCAUUUCAUUUAGCAAGAAAUCCUUAUUAUAAAAGUGCAUUUUCUUAUGCAUCUAAUACUUCUAAUCUAGUGGAUAUGUAUCACCAACAUAUAAUAAAGUCAAAGGUCUUUUACUUUCAAAAGAAAGAAGUCAUGUAGAAAACCUUUUGCAACCUAUACAAAACUCAUGAAAUCAUAAAGGUGUAACAAUUGUUAGUGAUGGGUGAAGUGAUCCUCAAAGAAGACCACUUAUAAUUUUUAUGGCUAUCAUUGAAAGUGGACCAAUGUUUUUGAAGUCAAUAGAUGGAUCUAGUGAGAUAAAGUACAAAGAUUUUAUCACUAAACAAAUGAGAGAUAUAAUUACGGAGGUUGGGCAAAAAAAUGCGGUACAAAUUAUAACUGACAGUGCAGUUUUACGUAAGGUAGUGGGUAUGCUCAUAGAAUUAGAAUUCAUGCCUUAUAUACAAUUGCAUUAUUAGUUAUAAUUUGUACCACAUUUUUUGGCCCAACCUCCAUAAUUACAUCUAUCAUGUGUUUAGCGAUAAAAUCUUUGUCCUUUAUCUCACCAAAUCCAUCUAUUGAUUUCAAAAACAUUGGUCCACUCUUAGUGAUAGUCAUAAAAAUUAUAAAUGUUCUUCUUUCAGGAUCUCUCAAUCCAUCACUAACAAUUGUUACACCUUUUAGAUUUCAUGAGUUUGAUAUAGGUUUCAAAAGGUUUUCCACAUUACUUUUUUCUUUUGAAGGUAAAGGACCUCUGAAUUUAUUAUAUGUUGGCGAUACAUAUUCACUAAGAUUAUAAGUAUUAACUAUAUAAGAAAAUGCACUCUUAUAAUAAAGAUUUCUUGCUAAAUGAAAUGGUAGUCCUAAAGAAUAAAGCAUCCUCAGAAUUUCACAAUCAAAAGUAUCUCUUUCUUGCGUAUUGAAAGAGACUUGUAAAGAACCUUUUAGUUCUGGGUUAACACCAUUGAUUGUCUGAUUUCCUUCAUCAGAUACAGGUGGUAGAGGGACCAUUUUUUUUCAAAUUCUCUAUUUUCAAUGUUGCUUCAUUGUCUAAUUUUUUAAACUCAACAAGUUUUGACGAGGUCAUAUUUGGACAAAUUCUAACUCCUCCUCCCAUAAUUUUUAACAAAUGAGCUCCUACUCGAGUCUAAGAUCCAUUGAAUGAGAGAUCACACAAACUACAUUAGAUCAUAUUAUUUUCACCACUAGGAGUUUUUCUUAGGUUUUAAGAAAUAUAUAUUCACGAAGAUUUUGUUUCAUCUUCUCGUUCGAUAGCUUGAUUAGGUAUAUUAAUCUUAAUUUUCUAACAAAAAUAAAUUAAAUAUAAAAAUUUACUUGAAUGUAAAAAAAUCAAAUAAAUUCAUCUAAUAGAAAUAAUGAAUAUAAAAAAUAAAAUAUGUAGAAAAUUAAAAAAUAAUUAUAGUAUAAUAUAUUGUAUUUCUUAAAAAUAAUUGCUCUUACCAGGCUCGGGUUAAGCCAUCCGAGGUACUGAAUUUGAGGUGAUCAGGUAGAUCAAUCUUUGUCUUGACAAAUUGACGAUGAAAACUGAGUGAAAGUUCACCUACAAAAGAAGACUCCCCCGCGCUCAAUGCUCAAGUGAGUAUGAUAUAUGAUUUAGAGUAAAUGUAUUGAGUAUUAAGUUAAUAAGAAGUACUCCUGAUUAUUGUAUUUAUAGACUUAUAAGCUUAUGAGAUGUAAAUAAUUGUUUUCGGUCUUCUAAGCAAUACUAAUCUUUGUGGUCAUAGUAAUACUAAUCUUUGUGAUCAUAGUAAGUGGUUAUAUUUACAUAAUUAUAAAGAUAUUUAUCAUUAACUAAUUAUAUUUAUAUAACCAUAAAGAUACUUAUCAUUAACUCAUUAUAUAUACGUAACUAUCAAAAUAUUUAUUAUUUAUUAGUAACCGAUUAUAUUUACAUAACUGUAACUAUAAAGAUACUAGUUUGGUUAUAUUUAUAUAACUAUAAAGAUAUUAGUUUGAUUAUAUUUAUAUAAUUAUAAAAAUAUUUAUUUGUAAAAGUGGAAUAUUCAAAUAUCUGCAGGUGAUUUUUAUUCAAUUAUCCAUCCAAUAGGGUAGUACAAUAAUAUAUAAUUAUUAUGUUAUUCAAGGUCAUUUUGUAUUUUAUAGUAUAAUAUAUUAUAUUUAUUAUAGUAUAACACAUUAUAUUUAUUAUAAUAUAACACAUUAUAUUUAUUAUAAUAUAACAUAUAAUAUUUAUUUUAAACAUUGUAAUUAAAUAUAAAACAUUUUAUUUAUUUAAGGUUGUUUUAUAUUUUUUUAAUUUUAAUAUGAUUAUUAUAAAAAAUAUUAUCUUUAAUAUUUUAUUUUAUUUUCUUAAUUAAAAGUUUAAUAUAAAUUUAAGGAAUCGCUUACUAUACUUAGUAAGAAAUUGCACACAAAAAGAAAAAGAAAAUAGAAAAUAAACAAAAUUUUUAUGUAAUUAAACAUUGGUAUUUAAAAUAAAAAAUGAAAGUAGACAAAUAAAAAAGGAAAGGAGAUUUUUGAAUAAAAAUAUUUUCCUUUUUUAUCUUCAAACAUGAAUCUAUAAUAAAAUUUAAUUUACUAUUUAAAAAUAGAUUUAAAUUAUAAAAAAUAAUUAUAUAUUUUUUAAUAUAAAAGAAUAAAGUAAAGUAAAAAUAUAAUAUUUAAACUAUAAAAAAAUAUAGAAUAUUAUAUAAUAAAUAUAUUUAUAUUUAAAUUGAAAAAUAUAAAUUAAAUAACAAUAAUAAAUUCGAAGUAAAAAGACACUACGUUAGUUGCAUUGAGAGUACCUUUUAUUAAAAAAAAUACAGUAACACUAUGAUUAAUUCAAAAACAAAAUCUAUAAAUUAAAGAAUAAUAUUAAAUUUCAAAUAAAAAAUGCAAUGAUCAAUUCAAAAAAAAAUUCUACACUACAAGAAAAUCAUGAAAUAUAAAUCAAUUUUAGAAAAGAAAAAAAUAAUUAGUUGCUAUAGUGACUAAAUUAUAGACCAUUUUAGGGAUUAAAUAAAUUUUUGGUUUGUAAAUUAGUUUCUAUUACUCUUAAAUAGUUUCUAAAUUGGUAUGUAAUUAGCAAAUAAGGUUUUUGCUACCAAAUUUAGAAUCUAAAUAAUUGGUAAUUAAAAUUUUGGUAGCUAAUUAGAUACCAAUUUAGAAACUAUUUCAGAAUAAUAAAAACUAAUUUACAAACCAAUUUUUUUAGUUUCUAAAAUGAUAUCUAAUUUAAUUAAUAUUGUAACUGAUUAUUUUGAUCUCUAAAUAUUGGUUUCUAUUUAAUGAUUGAUUUUAAAUUAAAUAAUAAUAUAAAAAAAUUGCACAUAGGUCAAUUGUACAGUGAUCAGUUCAAAAAAAAAAGUUUCUAUAAAUUAAAUAAUAAUAUGAAAAUUUGCACGUACGUCAAUUGUGUAUUUUCAAUUGCAAUAAGUAAUGACAGAGCACCUGAGCAAUUAAAAAUAAAGUUUUUUACAUAAUAUUUUAAAUAAAAUAUUUAAUGUGUAUUAUUUUAUCAUUUUUUAGUCUAGUCUUUCUUCUUUCUUCUCAUUUUUUAAGAUUGUAACUCACACUAUACACGCUUUUACUCAAAUGUGAUCAAUGAGGUGGAUCAUGCCAUCUCCGAUGUGUCAAAAGUAGGGUCGUGUUCGGUUCAAGUAAGCGUAUAAAAUACAACUUAAAUUGAACAAUUUUCUAAAUUUUUCCUCGCUACAACUAGCAUUUCGUUGUUUGAAGGUUACAAACAAUGCACAAGCACAUCCACUUGUUAGAAACCAACCCCACAAGUUUCAAAGGAUUCUUCCACCACUUUUUGCGCCGCACGUGAUGUAACUCAAAAAUACAUGAAGAUGACUAAGGAUGCUAUACUUGAAGGGUCAUCUCAUCAAGAAAAUAAAGACUUCAUCAAUAGAAGAAAUGGACAAGGUCCAAAACAUUUAAAGUUCUUCUUAUUAGUCUUCUCAAAAUAUGAGACUCAAGCCCAAUUAAUGUCUCUUUUUGUAAUAUCUUUAUAAUAGAUUCUAAAUAGAACAUUAGAAGGGAAAUAGUAGAAAAAGUCACUUUUCGGGAAUAAGGAAGUGACUUGGACAGGAGCGGCAUUUACAUUGUCUUUUCAUGUUCCUUGUCUCAUUUACAAUGACUUUUCAUGUAUCUUACCUUUCAUGACCGGUCCUCUAUUCUCAUAUAAAGAGAAGCCUUGCUUUUGUAAACAUAAGUUGAAUAUUAAAAUUGAAAAUGAAGUUACUCUCUUGAAAUUGAGUGGGUUCUUUGUGAGACUUGCUCUCCUUCUCUUUGUCUUAUCUUGUGGGUCUUGGGAAUGUUCAAGUGGCGACACUCUCACUCAUUUUGGAGCCUUCCACCAUCCAAGUGGCGUGAUCACUCCCAAUGUCUUCAACCAGAUAAGUUCUUUUCAACUUUUCAUCUUCUUCUUCCAUGUCCAUUCAAUAUCACAAACUCUAAACAUGUCUUUUGUUGUUUCUUGAUGUUUCAAUCAGUAGAAAUUGUGUAGUUUCUGUUUUUGUUUGGUUCUUUGUGAUUACUUGUUGUUCUAUUUGGUUUGUAUGUGUUUAGUUGUUGUUUCAAUCGGUUCAUAUGCUUCCUUGUCAUGUUUCAAUCGGUUCAUGUUCUUGAAAUGGGUUUCCAUUUGGUUUUCUUGUUCUUGUUGUGUUCUUGAAUUGCUUGUUGAAUCUUGAUCUAAUUCUUGAAACUGUCAUAUGAUGUUUCAUCUUCCCAAUCAACUCACAUCAUGUGGUAUCAUGAGCCAUGGGUUUGUUCUUGUUUUGAGUUGAUUUGACACUUUUAAUUCAAGCAAAUUAUUUUUCCAGCACCUUAUUUUGUGCAGAAUUUUUUUUAGGUUCCUUUUUUGCGUGUGUUGUUCUGUUUUUUCCUUUUAAUUGAGUAUUUCUUGCUGUUUUUAAUUGGUACGAAUUAAUUGUGUUUGAGUCAUUUUGAUUUUAGAAUCCAUAUAAGUUUUGUCAAGUCAUGUUUCUCCUAAAAUGUCAUCAAUUUUAUGUAGUACUUUUCUUAAUAAUUUUGGUUGAUUGAUUUUAAUUGAGUGUAGUUUUAUAAUUCUGUUUUUGAUCCUUUGGUGUAUUUUAUUAUUUAGAUUUGAGUUCAUACUUGUGUGUUAGAUCUAUACAAGUUCAUAUACAUCACUUCUAUUGUGUCUUUGAAGUUUCUUAAUGUUGUUUUUUAAUUCCAGAAUAGGUUUCCUCUGUUUUCAUUAAAUCGGUGCUAACUAAAAUGGUUUAUGAAAAUUUCUUUUGUUGGAGAAAAACUAUGAAACUUUGGAUCUGAGUAGUUUGAAAUGUUAAAAAAGAGUUAAAAAAAGAAGUAUAUUCAAAAUACAAAAAAAAAAAAAAUGAUAAAUGAAAUACGUACAAAGUCCAAAAUUCUGACUCUAGAAAAAUAGUGAAGCAGCAGUGAUUUUAAAAAAUUUAUCACAAUUAAUUGGUGCUCUGUUUUAGUACAAUUAUAGCGCCUAUUGUGAGAUAAGACAUUGUUUUAU
rnacentral:lncRNA from 1 species